UGUUUUCACUAUUAGAUACACAACAUUAUGAACACAUAAUUAAACCCUAAUCAUGUUUGCUAUUUUCGAAAUUAACCAGGAAGGUUAGAUUACAUACCUCUUGUUCUUAUAUUGUAAUAACAACUUAAAUCUUCAAACCCAAAGUCUUGAAAGCAAGCACCACAAGUGUAGUGCCUCUAAUGGCUCACAAACACCACAAGCAAUUGGAGAAGAUAUAGAGAGAGAAGAGAGAGGUAGAAAUUCGUCCUUAGAUGCUCUAGGGAUCAAGUGUACGAAAUCCUAAGGCCUUAGGGGUCUUUAUAUAGGGUUGGGAUUAGGGUUUCAGUCCUUAUCCUUAUCCAGUUACUUGCCCACCAAGCAACCACAAGAUAAGCCUUGAAAACCCUUAUCUCUUGGACCUUGGACGAUUUCAAGGAUAUCCUUAUCCUUGAAUUCGUCCAUCCUUUAACAAGGAUAACCAUUGCCCUAUUUUGCAACUAUCACAUAAUUACAAUUCAGCCCCUCUAGUUUAAUUAAUUACAUUUGAUCACAAAAUUAAUUCUUAAUUAAUUAUUGACCAAUAUUAAUUAAACAAAUAUGAUUUCUCCUUUAAUAUAUUAUUCUUAUAACAUAUUAAUAAAUCAUAAUAACCUCUCUCUCUUUAUUUAUUUCUCCAAUCAAGUUGCUUUGGUGAAGGCAACCCAAAAGGACCAUGCACCAUCGGGUCAAGUACAUACCAAAAUAGUUAUGGACUUAGACACUAAUCCAACAGUCUCCCACUUGGAUAAGUCUAAUAACUAUUCUGCGUAUGACUUCAGAUCCUGAUCUGCAAUCGUAGCUUUCCAAAGCCGCUGUCAACUCUGAUCCUAUCAGAUACGCGUGUCCUUAGAUAAGGGAUCAUAUAUUCCUCCAUUCUAGAUAUCAUAUGAGAUAUGAUUUCAAAUCAUUCUCUUUGUACUAUAUCUCGAUUCCCGAUUUAUGACGACUGACUAAUUGAACAAAUCAAAUUAGCCCUAGCCCGGCCGAGCAUUUACGUUUGUCAUCACUAAAUCAUCGAGGGGCCCAAAGAUAUCGCUUUUAUCCUACUUUGAAUAAAAGGAACGGAUAAACUUUGAUACAAUGCUUGCUUGCACUCACUCACCGAAUCACACACAACAAUAUGUUUUAUAACACCAAGUUACUAGUGCGUUUACAUAUUAUCAAUGUGCAACCGAUUUGCAAGAUACAACUCACACAUCUCGGUUUCAAGAAUAUAAGAUGUUAUCGUCUCACCAAUCACUCGUGAUACAAUUCAUGGAGUGAUCCAAGUGAGCGUGGGUUUAAUCCAAUGCUCAAAUCAUAUUCAUAAGCACUCAUGAACGUUGCAGCAAACAUUUGCUUAUGUCUAAUACUCUUUUAGACAAUCCACACACCAAUUCACGACAGUCUUCAUUCAUAUCUACUUCCAACAUAUGAACGACUGUGGCCCGUUCGAAUAAUUCGAUUAUUCUUAAUAAAUUCAAUUAUUCUGGAAGUCAAAACAUGCAAAUGUGAAACACAAGAAUAAUACUAAUCCCAUAUGGCCUCAAACCUUUGAGUAUAAACAAAACACCUUUUAUUUAUCACCAUAUCGAUUACUCAUUACUUGUUGUUUCGGUUAAUCAACUUCUUACUUAAAUUAUUACACUUGUGCCAUGUUCUUAGCAUGCACACAAUGUUUACAUAUAGUUCUUACUUUUGUGAAAUAGAUCAAAUUGAACACAUUUCCAAUCAUUCUCAUUUCACAACUCCAAAUCCUUUUUCAUAAGUGUAAGAAUAUCAAAUUCUUGCCACUUAUAGAAUAUGCUAGAUUCUAACAUUCUAUGCAACGAUCCUUUCGUAAUGUCACUGCACCAAAGUCACAAAGACUAUUGCCAAUGAUAUUACAAAGUCCUCUAUCGGAGAUUGUUACAAGACAAUUCCUUAGAUGUGAUGUCUCUCACUCAAAGUACAUUCCUUUGAACAUCCUUUUGCAUAAAAGUUUCUAAUCUAGACAUAAAUUUUCAAUAUUCAAUUCCCAAUAUGGACACGCUUCCGUAAUUUCCAUAUGACAACUCAUUCUUAAUAGAAUCUUAUCUAUUCGUAAUGAUGUCGAUAUGGUCCAUCCAAUAUGGAAACAUUUCCAUAUUUUCCAUAUGACAACUCAUUCUUAAUAGAAUCUUUUCUAUUCAUAAUAAUGUCGAUAUGGUCCAUCCAAUACCAUGCUUCCAACUACUCACAAGCGACCAAUCCUCGUCAAACUUUGGAUUGUCCUUUGAUAGUUGUUUAAUUAUUUUAGUCAAAACCAAUUCUAGUCCCUUUUCCCUCUAAAUGCGCUCGACAUUUGGAAAAUUUUAGAAUGGUCAAACAUUAAAGCAUUUGCAAUCGAUCCUAUACCCGAAGCGUAUGGGACACGACGCAUAAUGUUUUAUUUGCUAUGUUCUCAAAAUUCGAAUUGUGAAGAGGAAUGUCGUAAUCAUAAUCGAAAUUUUAAGAACACACUAUGUACCCUUGACUAAAUUUAUUAACAUUUCUCAACCUAAUCCUUUAGAUUUGAAAUGAAGCAUAAUAUUCUCUCCCUUAAUUAUAGCAAAACAACUAUUCCAUCCUUACAACUUUGCAAAGUAUGACUCUUGUUUUCUAUAAUUAAUAUUGCCAACUUGCAAUACUUUCCUUAAUAAUCAUACAAUCAUAACAUUUAUGCUCCCACUAUCAUGAUGAUUAUUAUAAAACAUAACACUUAUGCUCCCACUAGCUUCGACAUGUAUUCAUAAACAUCUUAACUUUCAGAAAAACAAUACUUAUUGAAUUUCUUAAGUUCAUGUUUCUAAUACUUAGUGCUUUGAUAAUCUUUUAUCAAGGCUUCUUGAACUUAUACACCUUUGCCUUCGAUAGUUCAUAUGUGUGUCUAAACAAUUAAGACUAAUUGCCAAACCUCACAAUUCAAAUUAUGGAAAGGGAUACCGUAACCAUAAUCGAAUUCGAGAAUGCAAUUUUACAAUCACUAUCUUCUUAAAAUCUUUCUUAGUGAAAGCAUUUCCUCACAAUCAUUUUCAUGAAGGAGGAAAUCUUAUGACACUUAGAUUUAAACGGUGUAUGUGUUCCUAUCCAUGUGAAUUUGUUAAAACCAAAGUUUACGACAAAUUCAAACUCAUAUGGACCGAACUUUCUUAAUCUUGAUUUCUUGCCUUAUGGUAGCACAGCUGCCCACCAUGUCUUCCAAGUAGUUAAGCAGCUCACCCUUUCCUAUCAAUGUACCUUUCAUUGAUUAAGGUGCUUUGCCUUUUAUGCGUUCAAAAUGAGAACUCAUAGAACUCACAUGCAUAAUUAACUCGAUUGGAUUGGCACAGAAACAAAAUAAUGUCAACACGAUAGGUUGUAAACCUCAACUCGUGUGCUAGUGAUGAUCGAUAAGGUUUAUUUGAUUUGUUCUUGAAACCUUUCAAGACCAUUAAGACUCCCACUGACUCCUUGACAUAUAAGAUUCUCUUGUCAAUAAACAUUUCUUGACAAACAAAUAUUCAAGAGUUAGUGUAGCUUUUAUCAAAACACUUCAUAAAUUGGUCCUAGUUGGUCUUUGUCUUAUCCAAGACAUCACAACUUUCCACAUUUGAUGAAUGUUAUAAACCUUCUUAAUACUUUUCACUCAAUGUCACAAUCUUAACUCUAAGACUUGUUUUGGAACGAAGUAUGAUUGACUUCUUGAUUUAACCAUUUCUUCAAUUCUUGAUUCCUCUUCUUAGACAUACAAUUGUACUAAGACUCACUUAGAGGAUCAAUUGAGAUAUGGUUCUUAAUCAUUAAGACCUAUCAUAAAGCAUAAAAGGUACUCUCCCUUCUUCUUAGAAUGGAGAAACUUUUAUCUUUCUGCCUACUUGAUUCUUCUUAUUCGUUUUGCUAUUGAUUUAAACUUUUUCAAUCAAUUCAGAAUUACACUUAAUCUUGUAAGUAUAAUCAUAUUUACUAAACCUUUAGUAAAUCAUGACGAAUAUCUUUGUUACUCUUAUGGUGGACUUGAUCAACACGCAACUUUGUGUACUCGAUCUCCUAGUCCUUCACUUGACACUUUGUCAAUGAAUUAGUCUAAUUUCCAAAUAUGAAAUUUCUCAUUCAUCGUGCAACCAAGUUGCAUGAUUCCAAGUUUCUGUCCAAUUGAAACUUGGGCGAUGAGAAACUCUCCCUAUUUGGUAAAUUCUCGACUUUCCAUAAAUAACAUAAUAAGAACCAAAUCCAUUAUUGCUAAUAAUAGAAACAUUCAAACAUCAAUUUUUCAUAUACGCCAUUGCAAGGAUAAAUAAAUAAUAUAAAAUCAAAAUUUAUUUUAUUGCGGAAAAAAUUUGUCCUUACAAUGCAAUUCAUUGAAAAACUAUGCUAAUACAUCUUUCUUAGCAAUCUAAUUCUAACUCUAAGUAGUAGCUCAAGAAUCUAAUCUUCGAGAAAUGCGAUCGAAAUCCAUUCCUUCACGGUUAGAUUCUGCUCACUUCUUCCCUUAAGCUUCCUUUCUUUUCUUCGAUCCUACAAAACAUCAAUUGUAAUCUUAUCACAUUAUGUAUUAAGAAUCUAGAAUAGAAGCUUAAAAGAGUUAGUUAAUGGAUUUUACCUAUAUUAGAGCCAUACGUUUCGACUCUCCCAUCUCUUAGAUCUCUUAGGUAAAUGGGGCAGCUUCGUCUCCAAUGCCCUUUCUCUUGGCAAUAAAAGCAAAUUGACUCUUUUGGAACAUGACAUGGAACUACUUCAGACAUUGCCUUUCUCUUAUGAUCAAACUUUUCGAUCAUAGCAUGUCUUUCGUUGCCAUUGUCUAUAUCCAUAGAGGUCUUGAAGGCAGAUUCACCAAUCAACUUUGCUUUUCUAUUGCGCCAAACCAUUGCUGAUUCAGCAGCAAUAAGCAUAUAGGUGAGAUCUAUAAGGGUCACGUCGCGGUUCAUCAUAUAGUACUCUCUUACGAACUCACUAUAUGAGUUAGGAAGUGACUGAAGAACCCAAUCAACAGCCAUUUCCUCACAGACAACGGAUCCCAACAUUCUUAACCUAUCAAUGUGUGACUUCAUCCCUAGGACGUGUGCACACACCGACUUUCCUUCUUUAUGUUUACUUGCCAAAAGGGCUUGAGUGAUCUUGAACUUUUCAAGCCUUUGAACUUGUGGGUUAGGGAGAAUAAUUGGAGGAGGAGGAGGAAGUGAAGCAUGAUUUCUUGUUCCUCGAUCGAAUCGUGGAAUAUCAUCUUCAUGUGGAAUGCUUGUUCCACGGGAUUUGGGAAGACCAUAGUUGUCGAACUUUGACAUCUACAAAACGGGAGAAAACGAAUUCAAGUUAGUUGAUUGAUUGAGUCCUUAGUAAAUCACCCAAAUGAGAUACUAAGGCUAGGACCCAACACAAUAUUCUACAACUCGGGAGAGGGAUGCCGUAACCCUAAUUGCAGAAUAUUUGAAGGUAAGUGAAUGACGAUUCACUAAUUUCCACCAUGAAAAACGAAAAAGAAAUUUAAGUUUUAAAUCUAUGAAAACUCCUAGAUCCUUUGAGAUUCAUUGAACUUUCAAUGGCAUGUUUAAAUCUCGAUAUGCCCCUCUUGUUUGUGACUGGGAUGCCGAGGAUCACAAAGCGGGUGUGAAUAACCAUGCAAACUUACAUGGUGCCCUCACAUGUUACAGUCACCUAUUCGAUGUGCCGGUAAACCACACACGCUCCACCGAACUAUGACAAACAUUGAGUCACCCUUUGCUACCUUUGCUUAGAACCAUUUAGUGUGCCGGUAAACCACACACGCUCCACUAACGUCUUCGCAAGGGCACAAAGUGUAAUUUCAUGGAAUUGCAUCAAUUCACUUUUGCCUAAGUAACUAAGAUUGGGAAUUUUAUGAAAACAUUUAGUUACUUUAAUAAUUCAUUAUACUUAUAAUGGAAGGUUUCGUCCUAUCCUACCCGUUCGGCUAACGACCCUCCACUAGUCAAGAGUGCGGUGGGUAAGAGUGGAUACCCAUUCAAUCGCCAUUUUAUAGGCAAUUUCCUUAAACACCCCUUAUAGACCAGCUUCGUGAAUGAGGCCUACUAACGGUAAGACUGACUUUUACUCAUACAUAUAUAUAAUGUUAGACUUUUAAUGUUAUAUAUAGUAUAGGGUGUAUUUUACACUUUUAAAAUAUUAGGUGGUUAAAUUUAACAAUUAUACUUUUAAUUCACUUUAAUUGUAAACCAAAACUUUUAUGGAUUUAUUAAACUUCUUUUAAUUAUACACCUUAAUUAAUUAAUAAAACCAUAAGGGUGUGAUUUGAACUUUUUCAAAACUAUACUAGAGUUUUAGAAUUUAACAUUCCUAAUUAAACUUUUAAUCAACUUUUAAAUUCCAAAACUUGAGGGCAAGUUUUGAAACUUUUCAAAACAAUUUAGUUUUAAUCUCUCUUAAAAUUUUCGAAUUUAUGACAUAUAAAUUAAAAUUUUAAAUAUUAAAACUCUUGAUUUAAUAAUUAUCUUGAAUUAGACUAUUAAUUUAAUUAUUAAAUCAUAAGGGAUUAUCUAAAUCAUGAGGAUAAUUACCAUUUAUACAUUUAAGAUAUCCUAAUCCCUUAAUUAUCUCCCUAGAUCUCGAAAAUAAGGAUAGGAUAAUGCAAAAUCUAUAAUUACCAUAUAUAACAAUUAGAGGAUAAUUACAAGAUAUGGGAUAAUCCAAAUCCCUAAAAUUUAGGAUCUUAUCUUGGGGAGGAGGCUAAUUUCGAAAAUCAAGGGAUUAAAACAAACCCUAUAUUUCGAAAUUUAAGGGUUUAAGGAAAGGAUUUGAAGAUCUUAUUCAAACUCUUGCAAAUUAGGGUUUGCAAACCCUAAUCUCGAAAAGCCCUAGCCUCCUAGGGUUUAUUGGCAAUAAACCCUAAUAUGUCAAGUUCAUACAAUUGAAUAAACUAAUUGAAAACAAGUUAACCAAAGGCUCUGAUACCACUGUUGGGUUUUAUACAAACAAUCCUAUGUGUACAUGCAACCCUAGCAUUGGAUCUAUGUUUUCACUAUUAGAUACACAACAUUAUGAACACAUAAUUAAACCCUAAUCAUGUUUGCUAUUUUCGAAAUUAACCAAGAAGGUUAGAUUACAUACCUCUUGUUCUUAUAUUGUAAUAACAACUUAAAUCUUCAAACCCAAAGUCUUGAAAGCAAGCACCACAAGUGUAGUGCCUCUAAUGGCUCACAAACACCACAAGCAAUUGGAGAAGAUAUAGAGAGAGAAGAGAGAAGUAG
rnacentral:lncRNA from 1 species